AAAACUUAGCAGCAAUCCUACACAUGGACUGAGUUUCCACACAGGAGCUGAAGAAAGAUGAUCGUGUUCUUAGUACCUAGCUGCAGUGAGGGCUCAGAUGGUGUGCAUGGAUAUCCUCAAAGUCUGUCUGGCUGUCAUCUCCAGAACCACUCCCUCCCCACUCCUACCAACGUUUCUCAUGAAACCUUCUAUUUUACUGGAGGCUUGAAGAGGCUUUAUGAAACCCUCCAAAAAUACAGAGAGCUUCUAUUUAUUCAGCAUCGAAGCAGAAAUUCAGCGUGAUGAAUUUCCAGGAGAGUGAGGAAGGUCUGUGCUUGAACGAGCCGGAAUGUUUGAUGGAGCUAUCUUCUGUAUUAAAGCUUCAGAAGAAUGACUUUCUCAGACUUGAGUGAAGCUGUUGCAUAAGCGGAACUGAGCUGCUGUGUCUGUUAUCCAACCUUAUUGUGGUUUACAUUUAAAUUGAUUUCCCUCUAGCCAUAGUCAGGUCUGCUGCUUUCAUGAUUCCCCCCCCUUCCUCCCCGCCCUUAAAUUAUCAAGGCAGCUCAGUGAAAGGAAUAUACAGUUCUGGCUUUCACCAUACCAGCUGCAGAGAAAGCUUAGGUUAAGUUUUAUUGCUGAAACUUCCUCACUAUUUUAAAUUGUUUAAGUAGGCUUUGGAGAGGCAAUUUUCUUCAAGGAGUGAAGGGGGGGGGGACUGAGAUCAUAAUGAGGUGGAUUGGGCCGGAUCUUGAAACAACAAAACUAAACUUCACAAGAAGAAGGGCGAUUCUUACUUGGCAAGCGAUGUUGUGAUAAGAGUACAGAGGCAGGCAGGGAAAAGAGAAGUUGGGGCCUCCCUCCCAGCCUGUAAGGAUGAUGAAUUUGUACCACUGAGCAUCAGGAAUUUUGAAUUUAGGAUACUGCUUGCACCCAUAAAUUUGAAAUAAACAACCCAGAGAACUGAUAGAAGCAAUCAUCAGAUUAACUUCACUGAAUGGGGAAGGACUGUGGGGAGAGGAAUGUGGCAGAGAUGGGAAUUUAAGGGACCCCAAGUC
rnacentral:lncRNA from 7 species